rnacentral:rRNA from 1 species
AUGGCGAGGGUUCACCCCAACAUGGUGGCCGCGCCGGGCGCCAUCGACGAGGCGCCGGCCAGCUCCGCGGUGGACGGGCCGACGACGCUGACGGUGUGGCGCAAGUCCCUGCUGUUCGACUGCAAGGGGUUCACGGUGUUCGACGCCGAGGGCAACCUUGCCUACCGCGUCGACAGCUACGCCUCCGAGAGCGGCGACGAGGUCGUCCUCAUGGACGCGGCCGGCCGCCCCGCCUUCACCGUCCGCCGCAAGCGGUUGACCCUGCAGGGCGAGCAGUGGCUCGUCUUCUCCGGCGAGGAGACGCGGAGGCCCGUGUACACCGUCAGGCGGAGCGGCCGCGGCAAGACGUUGGCGCACGUGACGGCGUGCGCGGGCACCGGCGCUGGGCCGUCUUACGAGGUGGAGGGGUCGUACGCGCGGCGGAGCUGCGUGGUGUACGACGGCGAGCGGCGCGCGGUGGCGGAGAUCAGGCCCAAGGAGGUGGUCGGCACGGACGUGUUCCGCCUGGCGGUGCAGCCCGGCGUGGGCGUGCCGCUCGCCAUGGCAGUGGUGGUGGCGCUGGAGCAGAUGUUCGCGAGGCCGUCGCUCCUCAGGAGCUGGUCCACAUAG